UGAUGCUUGUCUCUUGAAGAUGCUGCUGCCUCCAGAAUUGUGGCUUUUGCAUGUAAAACCUCAGGAAAAUCAACUUCAAAAACGCUGCUUUCUUUCAAACAGCUUAGGCGAUGUGAUCUUGCAUCCAUACCUGCAGGAACGUCUCGCCAGCAAACAGCUCAGCCAGCGGGUCAUGGAUCACCUGCUUCCACAAUGCCCGCCCAGCCGCUGUCUGGCACGCUGACCGCCUCAGGAAAUCCCAGUCGCUCUUGAUGGUUGCAUGAAGGCCUGCCAGAGGGUCGUUGCUCAGCAGCUCGGACAACCUCAGUUCCGGCCAAGUUUCAUCCUUUAGAAACACACUUGCGUUGUCAUCAUUCGACAUGUUGUGCUGCUGCGAAUGCUGAACCGUACCAUAUGCGCCACGGAAGUUAAAUGAAUGAAGGGAGGUUCUGAGGAGAGAGUGGAGUCAAGAUAUAGUCAUGAGGAUAAGGAAAGAGAGCCACACACACAAUCAACAUGAAAGGUUCUAAGAUAUCCAGCCUCAUUUUGUGUCUAGGGAAAGAGAAAGGUGAUGAAGAGUCCACGAUCACCUUCAUCCAUUUGCAUAAAAAAGUGGCUGACAAAGGCUCCCACCUUCAAAAUGUGGUUCCCACUUCAAUACUAUUUGUUGAAGAUGAUGUUUUGUUACGUACUUUAUCCUCAGAUAUUCACAUAUAUAUGGGCAUGUAAAGUAAUCAUAAUUCUUAAAAAAAUAAAAGCUAGGUAACUUUUUCAGGA